GAGUAACACGUAAACACCUGCCUUCAGGAUGGGGACAACAGACGGAAACGACUGCUAAUACCGAAUAAGUUCCAAGAGCCGCAUGGCCCAUGGAAGAAAAGGUGGCCUCUACCUGUAAGCUAUCGCCUGAAGAGGGGUUUGCGUCUGAUUAGCUGGUUGGAGGGGUAACGGCCCACCAAGGCGACGAUCAGUAGCCGGUCUGAGAGGAUGAACGGCCACACUGGAACUGAGACACGGUCCAGACUCCUACGGGAGGCAGCAGUGGGGAAUCUUCCGCAAUGGGCGAAAGCCUGACGGAGCAACGCCGCGUGAGUGAUGACGGCCUUCGGGUUGUAAAACUCUGUGAUCCGGGACGAAAAGGCAGACUGCGGAAAACAGACAGCAUUGACGGUACCGGAAAAGCAAGCCACGGCUAACUACGUGCCAGCAGCCGCGGUAAUACGUAGGUGGCAAGCGUUGUCCGGAAUUAUUGGGCGUAAAGCGCGCGCAGGCGGCUUCCCAAGUCCCUCUUAAAAGUGCGGGGCUUAACCCCGUGAUGGGAAGGAAACUGGGAAGCUGGAGUAUCGGAGAGGAAAGUGGAAUUCCUAGUGUAGCGGUGAAAUGCGUAGAGAUUAGGAAGAACACCGGUGGCGAAGGCGACUUUCUGGACGAAAACUGACGCUGAGGCGCGAAAGCGUGGGGAGCAAACAGGAUUAGAUACCCUGGUAGUCCACGCCGUAAACGAUGGAUACUAGGUGUAGGAGGUAUCGACCCCUCCUGUGCCGGAG
rnacentral:rRNA from 1 species